rnacentral:misc_RNA from 1 species
AAGCUCCGAGUCAUAAGAUAUUGUUCCACAUCCACCAACUCUUUAAGCUGAGUGAGGAACCAUUUGUCAAUUAAACUUAGUUCAUGAAUAUCAUCAACUUUCAUCCCCUUCUUCAUUGCAGCAUAAACAGCAUGAAUGCGAUCUGGGUUUGGAACUCGAAGGCUGUACUUCAACUGGUCCCAGUCCCAGUCAAGUUCCUUAAGUGAUGCACAACCCCAUCCUGAGUAGCCACACUCCAGUGACCGAACUGCUUUCUGUAAGGACUCUUGUAAUGUUCGGCCUAUUGCCAUUGCUUCACCAACAGAUUUCAUCUGGGUUGUCAGAACAGGCUGAGAACCAGGGAAUUUCUCAAAUGCAAACCGAGGGAUCUUGGUCACCACAUAAUCUAUAGAAGGUUCGAAACUAGCUGGAGUCUUCUUUGUAAUAUCAUUAGGAAUCUGGUCCAGUGAAUACCCAAUUGACAACUUAGCAGCCAUUUUUGCUAUAGGGAAGCCCGUAGCCUUGGAAGCCAAAGCCGAAGACCUCGACACCCUAGGAUUCAUCUCAAUCACCAUAACCUCACCAUCCAAAGGAUUAACAGCAAACUGCACAUUGGACCCUCCACAUUCUACUCCAAUCUCUCUUAUAAUCUUAAUUGAAUAAUCUCUCAACCUCUGGUACUCCUUAUCAGUCAAUGUCUGGGCUGGAGCCACAGUUAUCGAAUCCCCAGUGUGCACUCCCAUUGGAUCAAUAUUUUCAAUCGAGCAAAUGAUCACAACAUUAUCAGCCAAAUCACGCAUUACUUCCAAUUCAUACUCUUUCCAUCCCAAUAAUGACUUCUCCACCAACACCUGUGAAGUUAAACUCGCAGCCAACCCCGCCUUGCAAAUAGACUCAAACUCCUCCUUAUUAUAAGCAAUGCCACCUCCAGUCCCGCCCAAAGUAAACGCCGGUCUAAUAAUCAACGGAAACUCUCCAAUUUCGCGAGCAAUCUCAAUACACUCAUCGAGCGUGUUCCCAACCCCAGAAGGCGGCGUUUUGAGACCAAUACUCUUCAUUGCUUGCUUGAACAGCUCUCUAUCCUCAGCUUUUUUGAUAGCUUCAAGUUUAGCCCCAAUUAACUCCACAUUGUACUUCUUUAGAGCACCGCGUUCCGCCAAAGCCACCGCCAGAUUCAAGGCUGUCUGGCCACCCAUCGUC